rnacentral:rRNA from 1 species
UACGUAGGGUGCGAGCGUUGUCCGGAAUUAUUGGGCGUAAAGAGCUCGUAGGCGGUCUGUCGCGUCGAUCGUGAAAACUUGGGGCUUAACCCUGAGCUUGCGGUCGAUACGGGCAUGACUGGAGUUCGGCAGGGGAGACUGGAAUUCCUGGUGUAGCGGUGAAAUGCGCAGAUAUCAGGAGGAACACCGGUGGCGAAGGCGGGUCUCUGGGCCGUAACUGACGCUGAGGAACGAAAGCCAGGGGAGCAAACGGG